UUGUUAUUGAUGAGGAGGUCCUUUCUAUUGGAGCAGCUUUCCAUGCUGCAGUUGCCAUUUCUUACUUGGACGGCCAUGCUAUUGACACACAGUAGGAACCUGUUUAUGCUCACUUGUUAUUUCUUUGAUGAAAAACGUCGUUAAAUAAAAACGGUAAGGAAACAUCAAUUUAGUGUCGUUUUGUCAUUAUGGAAAGUGUAUAUAUUUUUAUAUCUCGAAUAUAUUCGAUGCUGUGCAAGAUAAGUGCAUUUUCAAAUUUUAAUUGUAAUGAAAUAUGUGAACCGUGGAUAUUGAUCCCUUAAACCCACAAUUAAGACUAACACAAUCUUGAAAAAUCAAAAAUCAAAUUUGAUACAAAGUAUGACACAUAUUAUUUAAAUUACAAUACCAAUACUAUUAGAAUAAACUUUCACCUAAUUACUAAUAAUUAGUGAAUCUAGUUAUUUUUUAAUAAGUCAAAUUUAUUUUUUUAAAGAAUAAAAAAUGUGAGUAUCCCCUCACAUGCCGAGUAAUAUACAACAAAAAUCAUUAAUUAUCAAAAUAAAAACAAUUAGAUCAAGUUCAUGGACCUUUAAAAACAAGCCCACAAGCCUAGAAUUGUGUGCCUAAAUGUUUUACAGAGUCCCGGGUCACUGCUUCCCCCCUAAUUCUGCCUCUAAUUCUGUUUAUGGAAGAAUAUGGAAGGACAAAAGGACUUGAAAGAAACAAAAUUGCAUGUUUUCAUGGUGGAUGCUCCCCCACCACCCAUAUAAAUGCAACCUCCAUAUAGUUAUCAUGCUAGGUCCCAUUUUAUUUGAACGGUGGAGCAACACGCCGGAGCAAUACACCGGCAGUAUCUAAUAAUUUCUAUGUUCUCAUUGCAUGAUAAAAAAUUGCUUUGCGGUUAACAAUUUCUAGAGUGGGAAUAUCAUUUUCCCACAAAAGUUUCCUUUAAUAGGCCAGUAACUAACAUUAAUUGUUGGUUUGAGACCUUUCCAAACCUUAAGAGACAGUGUUAAGUAAUCUAUUUCAGCCUGAUCAUUUGGAAGGAAAUGGUAGAGUGGGAGCAUAAAAGCAAGAACAAUGGCAAAAUGCAUGCAUGUGGCCAUGAUGCUCAUGUAACAAUGCUACUUGGAGCUGCUAAGUUGCUUGAACGCAUGACGGAUGAACUAAAGGUAUAUGCACAAUCACAAACAUUCAGGAUUCUCAUCCACUCUUUAUUUUACUGAUUUUUUAUGCUUCUGAAAUCUUUUCACAAGGGAACUGUUAAGCUUGUCUUCCAGCCUGGAGAAGAAAGUUAUGGUGGUGCUUACCAUAUGAUAAAAGAAGGUGCUCUUGACAACUUUCAAGGCAUUUUUGGACUGCAUGUUGCACCAGAAAUCCCUGUUGGCACAGUUGAUUCAAGACCUGGUCCAAUGCUUGCUGCUUCGGGAAGGUUUAUAGCUACAAUUAAAGGGAAAGGUGGACAUGCUGCUCGUCCCCAGGAUACAAGAGAUCCCGUUGUAGCUGCGUCUUUUGCCAUUCUUGCUCUGCAACAGAUAGUUUCUCGAGAAACAGACCCUCUUGAUGCCAGGGUAACUUUUUAACUUUUUUCCCCAUUCUUAGGUGAUUCCAAAAUAUGUGAAUAUUGAUGUGUAAUUGAUCUGGAGAACAAAUUGGUCCUUGAUGUUGUGACAUGAUCUACUGAAACUUUUUCAGUAAAGGAUAGUUAUACCUCAUGUAAAGUUUUUUCCAUUUCCAUCGCCGUAUAGGUGGUCUCGGUCGGUUUCGUUGAGGCUGGCCAAGCUGGGAACGUAAUCCCAGAGAUGGUGAGAUUCGGAGGCUCAAUUCGGAGCAUGACUACCGAAGGUCUAGUCUCCCUUCAGCAAAGGGUAAUCAGGUAACCAUGUUUCAAUGAUUCAAGGAACAAAUAAUCUAAUUAACAAAAAGACCUAGUAAAUGCGCAUCCACUCAAGAGUGUAGACAAUAUUAGAAAUUUUCUUUUAAGCAAGGUUUAAGACUUCUUAAUUUCUUAGUAGCUACUUAAUUUAAUUUGAGAUGAACAUUAAUGAAAACAUUACGUCCUUACAGAUUGUAGAGAUGCAAGCAGCUGUUCACCAGUGUACUGCUUCUUUAGAUUUCAUGGAAGAAAAAAUGAGGCCUUACCCAUCCACUGUAAAUGAUGAAGCCAUGUACAAACAUGCCAAACAAGUGGGGGAAGCUUUGCUCGGAGAAUCUAACGUGCUUCUUGCUCCAAUGACCAUGGGAGCAGAGGAUUUCAGCUUUUAUUCACAGAAGAUGAAAGCUGCAUUUUUCUUUAUUGGAACAAAGAAUGAAACAGUGAAAACAGUGAAGAGAUUGCAUUCCCCGUACUUUGUUAUUGAUGAGGAGGUCCUUUCUAUUGGAGCAGCUUUCCAUGCUGCAGUUGCCAUUUCUUACUUGGACGGCCAUGCUAUUGACACACAGUAGGAACCUGUUUAUGCUCACUUGUUAUUUCUUUGAUGAAAAACGUCGUUAAAUAAAAACGGUAAGGAAACAUCAAUUUAGUGUCGUUUUGUCAUUAUGGAAAGUGU
rnacentral:lncRNA from 1 species